rnacentral:ncRNA from 1 species
AUAAAAGCGUUGAAGAGGAGAGUAGGCCGCUUUAUUAGUGUUUCAGCGACUGCCGUCAGUGAAAGGGCAGCACGAACCAGCAGCUGAAGAUGAGCUCAGAGCAAGGUAUUUGGUCAGUUUGGCUGAAUUCCCGGCAGGAUCCGUUACCAUCCCAGACAUCAAUUGGUGUUGUUGAGGCCGCUUUGGGCAAUCCAGCGGUAAAAUCGGGUGGUACCACGUCGGAUCAGCUGCGUCGUCCUGAAU